UGGGGAAUCUUGGACAAUGGGCGCAAGCCUGAUCCAGCCAUGCCGCGUGAGUGAAGAAGGCCUUCGGGUUGUAAAGCUCUUUUACCAGGGACGAUAAUGACGGUACCUGGAGAAUAAGCCCCGGCAAACUUCGUGCCAGCAGCCGCGGUAAUACGAAGGGGGCUAGCGUUGUUCGGAAUUACUGGGCGUAAAGCGCACGUAGGCGGAUUGUUAAGUCAGAGGUGAAAUCCCGGAGCUCAACUUCGGAACUGCCUUUGAUACUGGCAAUCUCGAGUCCGGAAGAGGUUAGUGGAAUUCCCAGUGUAGAGGUGAAAUUCGUAGAUAUUGGGAAGAACACCAGUGGCGAAGGCGGCUAACUGGUCCGGUACUGACGCUGAGGUGCGAAAGCGUGGGAGCAAACAGGAUUAGAUACCCUAGUAGUCCCUGAGCGGGCUGGCAAGGCGCAU
rnacentral:rRNA from 1 species